CACCCAGUCCUUUUUCCUAGGAGCACAGCCAGCCUCUCUACUGGGACCUGCCCCGGGUCUAUUAAAUCCUCCUAUUUCAGCAGAUAUCAUUCAAGCAACCCGCCAUCUUCAGGGAGGAGAGAAGCAGCGUGUUUUUACUGGCAAUUGUCACCAGUCUCCAUGAUUAUUUUGGCGUGGUGGAUGAUGAAGUUUUUUUCCAGUUAAGCGUUGUUAAAGGCCGGAUCCCACAAAUUGGUGAGAAAGUGCUGGUGAAAGCUGUUUACAACCCCAGCCAAUCGGUGCCCUGGAAUGCCUUGAAGGUCCAGACCUUGUCCAAUCAGCAUCUUCUGAAGCCCCCCACUCCUCUGCUCCAUGUAGCUUCUUUGGGACAGAAGCAAGGCAUUCUGGGGGCUCAGCCCCAGCUGCUCUUCCAGCCACACCGGAUCCCACCUCUCUUUCCCCAGAAACCAAUGAGCCUCUUCCAAACGUCUCCAUCGCUCCAUUUGGGCCACCUUGGGAGAUACGCCGGUCGAGGUCCUAAAGGCAGGCAGGAGUCAGGCAGAUGGGAUGACUUUGACUCCAAGAAGAGGAAGCAGAAGGGUAAUGAGCCCUGGGUGGCAAAGAAGCCGCGGCACGAGCCACCCCAAUACCGAGUCCAGUUGGCCUGCUAUACUGUGAAUAGGU